UGUAUUAAAUUAGUUAAAAAUAUGGAUCUGAAUCUGAUCAUUUUAUUAAAUAGAUAAUUAAAUUUGAUUUAAAUAGAUUGAAAUAAGUUAAAUGGAUGAUGAUGGUAUUAGGCAACAAUUGGACCAUCCUUCGACCGCCAUGAUCCCAUUAGUAUGAAACGAGCCCAACAAGCCUACACAGAAGGGCAACAAGAAAAAGGAUCUCAUGGCUUCCCCUUGCUGCUCAAAGAAAAGGGAAGAUCAUAAGGUCUAGA
rnacentral:lncRNA from 1 species